rnacentral:sRNA from 1 species
GAUCCUUUAUCAUUGAGUUUUUAAUAAAAUGUUGGCAUGAAUGAAAUAUGACAUAUUAGCAUUUUUACAGAAGUCAAAAUGUCAAUUUUCAGUCAACUCGUUUAGAAGUGCAUAUUCAAGAGGCUCAAAAGUCAAGUCGGCUGAUCGUUAUAUAUAGGAGCUUUAUCAGCCUAUUCGGACCAUAAUUGACAUGGACGCUAGAAUGUAUCCUGAAGAUAUUUAAACCAAGUAGAAACGAGAUUCAAUUACCUUCCUCGUUCUCGUAUUCUUUCAAAAGAUCGUCAUCUUUAGAAUUUUUUUGAUCCAGCGCAUUUUCCUGAAAUAUAGGCUUGGCUCUCACAUCGUAAAUUAUGAUAUCUGCAAGAGGAAUAUUCUGUACAUCAAUAUCGGAAUCUGCUACAUUUAUGUUAACCAAGCCAUCCGAGAGAUUUAAAACACCAGGCGGUAAAGAGUUUUGGGCAACAUGUUCGUUGAAAGCUGCAAAGUCAAAGCUUUCACUUAUCACUUUCUCAUUAUUCGACAUGUCCUCGUACGCUAACGUAUUUUCU